rnacentral:lncRNA from 1 species
AAUAUUUUUUUUUAAUAUAUGGAGACAAAAAUUUCAAUAAAGUUAAAUAUUUUCGAUCAGAAGACUUACUAGACGACUUUAAGACUUCAAUAUUUUUAGCGGGAAACUAAAAUAUUUUUAGCGGGAAUUAGACCCUAAACAUAACCUCUAAACUAAAUUAAUUAACUAAACACUUCAUAAAAUCAAAUUAAACUUAAAAAAUGUUUACUAUACACAGAAAUA